rnacentral:rRNA from 1 species
CUAAUCCCCGAUAGGUGAAGAACUCUGGAAUGAGUCUUCGCCCAAAAGGCGUCGGAUCAUGCUUUCGGCGUCGCCCAAGGAUGGGGCCGCGACCGAUCAGGUUGUUGGUGAGGUAACGGCCCACCAAGCCUAUAACCGGUGCGGGCCGUGAGAGCGGGAGCCCGGAGAUGGGCACUGAGACAAGGGCCCAGGUCCUACGGGGCGCAGCAGUCGCGAAACCUUUGCAAUACACGAAAGUGUGACAGGGUCAUCCCGAGUGCCGACCGCUGAGGUUGGCUUUUACCCAGUCUAGAAAGCUGGGGGAAUAAGGAGAGGGCAAGUCUGGUGUCAGCCGCCGCGGUAAUACCAGCUCUCCGAGUGGUGUGGACGUUUAUUGGGCCUAAAGCAUCCGUAGCUGGCUGAUCAAGUCCCCUGUUAAACCCACCGAUUUAAUCGUUGGCUUGCGGGGGAUACUGUUCGGCUAGGGGACGAGAGAGGCAGACGGUAUUCCCGGGGUAGGGGUGAAAUCCUAUAAUCCCGAGAGACCACCAGUGGCGAAGGCUGUCUGGCUAAAACGCGCCCGACGGUGAGGGAUGAAAGCUGGGGGAGCGAACCGGAUUAGAUACCCGGGUAGUCCCAGCUGUAAACGAUGCAGGCUAGGUGUUUGGACGGCCACGUGCCGUUCUAGUGCCGCAGGGAAGCUGUUAAGCCUGCCGCCUGGGGAGUACGAUCGCAAGAUUGAAACUUAAAGGAAUUGGCGGGGGAGCACCACAAGGGGUGAAGCUUGCGGUUUAAUUGGAGUCAACGCCGGAAAUCUCACCGGGAGCGACAGCAGUGUGAAGGCCAGAUUAAAGGUCUUGCCAGACGAGCUGAGAGGAGGUGCAUGGCCGUCGCCAGUUCGUGCCGUGAGGUGUCCUGUUAAGUCAGGCAACGAUCGAGACCCGCGUCCUCUGUUGCUACCAGUCUUGUGCUGGGCACACUGAGGAGACCGCCGCUGAUAAAGCGGAGGAAGGAGCGGGCCACGGCAGGUCAGUAUGCCCCGAAUCUCCCGGGCCACACGCGAGCUGCAAUGGCAGGUACAAUGAGUUCCGACCUUGAAAAGGGAAGGCAAUCUCGAAAGCCUGCCGUAGUUGGGAUCGAGG